rnacentral:rRNA from 1 species
CAGCCGCCGCGGGAAUACGGAGGGUGCAAGCGUUAAUCGGAAUUACUGGGCGUAAAGCGCACGCAGGCGGUCUGACAAGUCAGAUGUGAAAUCCCCGGGCUUAACCUGGGAACUGCAUUUGAAACUGUCAGGCUGGAGUCUUGUAGAGGGGGGUGGAAUUCCAGGUGUAGCGGUGAAAUGCGUAGAGAUCUGGAGGAAUACCGGUGGCGAAGGCGGCCCCCUGGACAAAGACUAACGCUCAGGUGCGAAAGCGUGGGGAGCAAACAGGAUUAGAUACCCUAGUAGUCCCUGUCUCUUAUAC